GGAGAUGGGAAGGAGCUUAGAGUGAGGCAAGGGCAGCAAAAGCUCUCCUGCCAACAUGCCCCUUCACCACUUUGAAUGCAAUGGCAAAACGCUUUCGCAUUCAGUCCAGAUUAGCCGCUCGUUCUCUAGGUGCUUUCAAGGGAAUGACUCAUCACAGUUCUUGGGGCACAGAGCUUCAGCAUGCAAGGGUUGCUUUGUGACUUAAGCGUCUGUCCUGAGCAAGUGAAGGUGAAUUCCACCAAAAUCAGUGGAAAGAAAGACAAAAAGCUCUUUUUACCUGACUUUAAAAAGAAAAAAUCACAGAUCUUUAUUUCCCAAAUGCUAAGCUUUCUUUUGGGAGAUCUUAAUAUUUUGGGGAUCACAGAGGGGAGCGUGUAAACAGAACGUGAACUUAGCCCUUUCACUGGACUCAGCAACUUUCCUGACUCCCUUUUUCUCCAUAAGGAAACCGAGGAAUCCCCCACAGAUGAAGGGGCACAGCUUGAUCUGGUCCAGCUUGGUCUAGAGACUCUGUUUCAGUAUUUAUUCCACCUUCCCUGAUUCCCUGCCAUUGAUUCAGCACCUUUUGGCUUAAACAUUUACUUAUCUUUGUAUCCCAUGUCUAGAGUAUAUGUGGUCUUACGUUAAAUUAGCGUUCAGCAUUUGCUAGACAGAAUAUAAGUUUAUAAAAUUUAAUCAACAAGCAGAAUAUAUAUCAACCAGUUUUAGCAUUAGUCGUAUGGUAUUAAAAAUGUAUGGGACUUCCCUGGUGGCUCAGCGGUUAAGGAUCCAGUCUUGUCACUGCUAUGGCUCGGGUUGCCACUGGGUGCAGGUUUGAUUCCCUGGCCCAGGAACCUCCACAUGCCAUGGGCGUGGCCAAAAAACCCAGUACGUAUAUAUGCACAAAAAUACUUAUGUACACUCAUAUCACUACCGGUGGAUGCCAGUAGGUGGCGCUCUGUUUCACCCGUGGGUGGCUUAGCCUGGAAUUGGCUUGUAGAAUGUGGCAGGAAAGUGAUGGAAUGACUAGUGCGUCUUUCUUGGGCCUCGAGCAGAUGAAAAAAACCUUCAUUCCCAACAGUUUCCAUUCUCCAUGUCACCUCCGUAUUUAAUUUACUUCACUUACAUGACUACUUGAAGUUUUCCCAGGUGAGUUGCUCCUAUUCAUUAUAACCUGGAGGAGUGGGAUUAGUAAACGAGUGGCUUAUACUUUCUAAAGGGAGGCCAGUGGAUGGUGACAUGGGAAGAACUGAUCUGCCAGCAGCUUGCGUGAUGGGGUGAACUGAGGGCACCUGAGCCAUCUCAGGGGCCCAGGUUGUCAUAACCUAGAGGUUACCCAGGCCAUGACCUUGCAUUUAGAGAGUCAGAAACUGAACCCCGAAUGUUAGGCGACUGUUUCAAGUUCUUACCAAAAGAGGGUGUUUCCGCAGCACAAUGAAAAGGUUUCGCUCAAGUGGCCCGUCCAGUGUUUGGAAUGAAUGCGUAUUUCUUGUGUGAUUGGAUAUUUCAGUGGCUGGAGAGCUGGCAUUAUGCUGUAAGUUCAGUUAGUCGGUUUUCUGCGUCUCCUGAGUAAGGGCUAUGUUAGUCGAGCAUUUUUGCCUUCAUCCCAAUAAACACCUUUCCUCCUCCUCUUCUUCUUCUUCUGGGUCUCCAGCCACGGAGGUCAGGACUGCUAUUCUCUGUGUUACUUGGUUUUGCUUUCCUUCCAAUUCAUUGAUCUGUAUGGUCUCUACGCGUGAGUGAGUGUGGCGCGUGCUUUAGUUGUGAGCUCUCAGACGUCAGUGCCUUUUUAGGGAGCAAGAUUUACCUUCUGCACUUGCAUGCGCUAUUGUUACAGGCUGCUGGUGUUGGGAUGUUCUUCUAGUUUAAAUGUGGGUAAGUAUUUUAAAAGGAUGUCAGUGGCUUGCCUACAUUCUCAUUCAGCCUGAAGGCCUUCUUGUUGUUACAAAGGAAACAUUGCAAGAUCCAAUUUAAAAAACUCAAGACGUUGGGCUUUUCUUGUGGUGCAGUGGGUUAAGGAUCUGGUGUUGUCACUGCCGAGGCCCAGGUUCCAUCCCUGGCCCAGGAACUUCCACAUGCUGUGGGUGUGGCCAAAAAGACCCUGCCAAAACAAAGCCCCCCAAAUUCCAAGAAAUGGCGUAUAAUAGAAUAAAUGGCUUUCUCCCAAACCCCUUGUACCACCACAGAGCUCCUCUAAUCUGAUGCUGGAAUGUCUCAGAACCACCUUUGAUUAGCUUGCUUUUAUUUUGCUUUUUUUGUUAAUUAAUUGCUCCCAGAUUAGCUGCAUAGGAACUUGGGUGUUGCUUUGAUGCCUACCGAGAUCUCUCUUCAGUUCUGGAAGCUAUUUUAUUUUGAAAGUCUUUACCUGUCAGUCUCAGCAGCUUCUGUCUGUUCAGGACAAACACACACCUCUCCGGGACCUCUCACAGCGUUGGUGCUUCAGCUCCAUGCGGGGUAUGUAAUGGGCGAGGGGAGUCACAACUUGGGGUCCCCGUAGGCAGGUUUCCCGUCUUUCCAGACAUCUGCCUGCCUGUACAUGUAUUUUUAUUGACAUACACAGUUAGGGAAAUUAAAUAAAGCAGCAUUUUAAAAACUAUUUCAAGACCUAGAGAAAUACCUAAUUGUUUCUCUUUGUGUACAUCCAGAGUGAUGUUCCUGCAGCAAAAGACUUGGUUUCACAUUGGCUUCCUCCCCUCCCUUGAAAUUAAUCAAGUGCGGAUGCUGCGUUAACUUUCUCAGCUGGGAACCACCAGCCCACAGGACUCCAGGCUCAUGUGAUGUGCCGAGAGUUAAACACAGGGACCCCCGAGUAUGGAGGUGACAAGAAUAUUCAUAAAGUCAGGCUACGCGCGUCCCUGGAAGGGAAUACGGCAGCAGGCGGUGUUUCUCUGGUGCCCAUAAAACCAGAUCCACAUGGCAGCUUGAUCUGUGGGUGAUGGGGAUUUUGCUGAUGAUUUUAAAAAUCAGGGCUAGUUUACUCUUAUUGUUUUUUGGGUAUUUUAGAAUAUACUUUUGCAUGUGGUUUUAAACUGUUGUGUCUCUAGCAGGAAUUAGAUUGAGUGCCAUCAUUUCUCUGGAGGUCACUUAGCCCCCACUUAACCAGCCCUCUCUGCUGUCACUUUGCGCAUUCAUGGUGACUUUUGGCAUGAGUUCAUUCUUACUUUUCCCGUGGGGCCUGGCGUGGGGUGGGGUCUCCUUGCAGCAAGGUAACGUGGGAAUGCAUAUGGCACAGGUGAGGUGUCCAUCAGUAACCUGAGGAAGUGGAAAGCCACCCACAGAUUCUCAAGGUAGCCUGUGAAAUCUUCUGUUUGUCUUUAAGAAGCUGAAUCAGGACAGAAGCCAAGAGUCACCGACAUCAUUGUCCUGCUUUUCAGUAGGUUCCGAGUUAGCAGCUUGUGUACCUGCAUCUAAAUGAGCGUUGUUAGCGUAUAAUAAGUCCCAUUCAUUCUCAUGCUUGAACUGAUGGCGGGUGACCCUACCAGAUAGAUUAAGUGCUCCUUGGCAGGCUCUGCUUCCCAGAGAGUCCACGUGGCUUUCCGUUGAAAUCGUCCUGAAAGGGGCACCCGCCUUUAGAGCAGCCCUGUAUCGGGAGCGUCGUCACGUGAGUGUCCUUUGGUGUGUUUUCAGAGUUGCAGGGUGACUCUGGGAGGGCAGAGAAGAAGCACUUGUUGGGUGUGAGGCCGUGGACCGAGUGCUUUUUGCGUGUCCUCACACGUCCUCUGCGUCCACAGGUAAAGUAGGGUUUGAAUUCUCAGACCCCAUUACAGGCGCGGGCAGCGGCAGCCGUGCGUGAGCGGCCUCGCGCCUCUUGCUAGAAAGCGGCAGAGCUGAGCUGCUGACCCUGCCCAGGGCAGCUCACUGCUCCUGGAAGCGCGCCAGGGCUCCUGCGGUUCCACCCCUGGCCCCAGGGCUGAGCUUGGUUUCCUGGCUUUUCUCCUCUGGUUCUAGGGUGGUAGGACUGCCCGGGAGCUGGCCCGCCCCUCGGUCAUUCGGGAACCUCGGUGGUCAGGAAUCGGAUCGGGACGUGUUGUGAGGCUUGGUCCCAUCCUGCCCUUGGACGUGUUGUGACCUGAGGCCUGGAAACCUCGCAGACUGGAGGCUGUGGGGGGGCUGCCCUUUCUGCCGGCAGUGGGGCGGUUUGCGCUCUGUCGUUGGCGCGGUGGCUUUCAGUGCCCUCCUUCCAGCCCGUCGCUGUCCUUUCCUCCUGAGAUACCAGUGCUUCAGGUGCCCAGAUUUCUGCACACCCGCUGGCCGCUAGAGCCAACUCACGCAGGUAGACACGCAGAGGUUGCCUGUUUCUUGUAUAGAACACCAGCCCGAAUAACUCCGGUUUUGCAGUUGGUCAGAGAAAAAGCUGGUGUGGCGUUUGCAGAUUUGUCCAGUGACCGGCGACAACUUCGCUUCUCAAGAACCAAAGAAUAGGGACUUUCCACUGUGGCCCAGUGGGUUAAGAACCUGACCUAGUGUCUGUGAAGAUGCAGGUUUGAUCCCUGGCCUUGCUUAGUGGGUUAAGGAUCUGGCCUUUCCAUGAGCUGUGGUGUAGGUUGCAGACGCGGCUCGGAUCUGGGGUUGCUGUAGCUGUGGUGUAGACCUUGACUGCAGCUCUGAUUCGACCCCUAGCCUGGGAACUUCCAUAUGCAGUGGGUGCAGCCCUUAAAAAACAAAAAGAAAAAAAA
rnacentral:lncRNA from 1 species